rnacentral:rRNA from 1 species
CAGAUGCAUAAUAAAGGAUUCUUAACACCAACAUCGAGGUCACAAAAUCAUGAUGUUGUGCGAACUCUCUAAAAGAAUUAAUGCUGUUAUCCCUAUAGUAACUUGUUAUUUUUUAACAAAUUGUUGAUUUUACUAGAUUUAUAUAUCAUAAUAUAUAAAUAACAUUAUCUUAUUUGCUGCCCCAGCAAAACAGUUUNUGUAUUAGUUUGAAAGUAAUACUANAUUGUAAAGUUUUAUAGGGUCUUCUUGUCUUUAAGAAUAAUUUUAGCUUUUUUACUAAAAAGUCAACUUCAUCAUAUUGUUAUGAGACAAAAUUACAUAGUUAUUCCUUUCAUUCCAG